CCUACGGGAGGCAGCAGUGGGGAAUAUUGGGCAAUGGGCGCAAGCCUGACCCAGCAACGCCGCGUGAAGGAAGAAGGCCUUCGGGUUGUAAACUUCUUUUUUUAGGGACGAAGCAAGUGGCGGUACCUGACGAAUAAGCCACGGCUAACUACAUGGCAGCAGCCGCGGCAAUACGGAGGUGGCAAGCGUUAUCCGGAUUUACUGGGUGUAAAGGGCGUGUAGGCGGGACUGCAAGUCAGAUGUGAAAACCACGGGCUCAACCUGUGGUCUGGAUUUGAAACUGGAGUUCUUGAGUACUGGAGAGGCAGGCGGAAUUCGUAGUGUAGCGGUGAAAUGCGUAGAUAUUAGGAAGAACACCAGUGGCGAAGGCAGUCUGCUGGACAGCAACUGACAUUGAUGCUCGAAAGUGUGGGUAUCAAACAGGAUUAGAUACCCGAGUAGUC
rnacentral:rRNA from 1 species